rnacentral:rRNA from 1 species
AUGGCGGCAAAGAAACAUCUCUUUCGCUUUGGGUCUUUCGCGAUAAAGAACGGGUCAGAGAUUCGUUUCUGGGAAGACAUCUGGCUAGGCAAUGCCAGUCUCAGAGAACAAUAUCCAGCCUUAUAUAAAAUCGCUCGCGAUAAGAAUAAUACUAUUGCGCACGUGCUCGGUUCUUCCCCACCGAAUAUUUCGUUCAGGCGGGAUUUGAUUGGCCCCCGACUUGUGCCAUGGCAUAAUCUUUUAUCCUGGCUGGAUUCGAUUAACCUGACACAAGGUCAGGAUGUGUUUCGUUGGAACCUUACUACAUCAGGGUCUUUCACAGUAGACCGCAAAAAGGAGAUUUAA